AUUGAACGCUGGCGGCAUGCCUUACACAUGCAAGUCGAACGGCAGCACGGACUUCGGUCUGGUGGCGAGUGGCGAACGGGUGAGUAAUACAUCGGAACGUGCCUAGUAGUGGGGGAUAACUACUCGAAAGAGUGGCUAAUACCGCAUGAGAUCUAUGGAUGAAAGCAGGGGACCUUAGGGCCUUGUGCUACUGGAGCGGCCGAUGGCAGAUUAGGUAGUUGGUGGGAUAAAAGCUUACCAAGCCGACGAUCUGUAGCUGGUCUGAGAGGAUGAUCAGCCACACUGGGACUGAGACACGGCCCAGACUCCUACGGGAGGCAGCAGUGGGGAAUUUUGGACAAUGGGGGCAACCCUGAACCAGCCACGUCGCGUGAAGGAAGACGGCCCUACGGGUUGUAAACUUCUUUUGUAUGGGAGCAAUAAGGUCUACGUGUAGAUCGAUGAGAGUACCAUACGAAUAAGCAUCGGCUAACUCCGUGCC
rnacentral:rRNA from 1 species